GACCAGAUGGCAUAAUGGUUACAUUGCUGGACUCUCACAUAGUAGACCACAGUUUGAGUCUGUCCUGGUCA
rnacentral:tRNA from 1 species